rnacentral:rRNA from 1 species
CACGUAGGGGCCAAGCGUUGUCCGGAUUUAUUGGGCGUAAAGAGCUCGUAGGCGGCUCGGUAAGUCAGGUGUGAAACCUCCAGGCUCAACCUGGAGACGCCACCUGAUACUGCUGUGGCUAGAGUCCGGUAGGGGGAGCGUGGAAUUCCUGGUGUAGCGGUGAAAUGCGCAGAUAUCAGGAGGAACACCAGCGGCGAAGGCGGCGCUCUGGGCCGGAACUGACGCUGAGGAGCGAAAGCGUGGGUAGCAAACAGGAUUAGAUACC